UAAUACGUAGGUGGCAAGCGUUGUCCGGAAUUAUUGGGCGUAAAGCGCGCGCAGGCGGUCCUAUAAGUCUGAUGUGAAAGCCCCCGGCUCAACCGGGGAGGGUCAUUGGAAACUGUAGGACUUGAGUACUGGAGAGAAGAGUGGAAUUCCACGUGUAGCGGUGAAAUGCGUAGAGAUGUGGAGGAACACCAGUGGCGAAGGCGACUCUUUGGCCAGAAACUGACGCUGAGGCGCGAAAGCGUGGGGAGCAAACAGGAUUAGAUACCCUGGUAGUCCACGCCGUAAACGAUGAGUGCUAAGUGUUAGGGGGUUUCCGCCCCUUAGUGCUGCAGCAAACGCAUUAAGCACUCCGCCUGGGGAGUACGGUCGCAAGACUG
rnacentral:rRNA from 1 species